rnacentral:ncRNA from 3 species
AGGUGCCAUUCUGAGGGCCAGGAGU